GACGAACGCUUGCGGCGUGCUUAACACAUGCAAGUCGAACGGAAAGGCCCUGCUUUUGUGGGGUGCUCGAGUGGCGAACGGGUGAGUAACACGUGAGUAACCUGCCCUUGACUUUGGGAUAACUUCAGGAAACUGGGGCUAAUACCGGAUAGGAGCUCCUGCUGCAUGGUGGGGGUUGGAAAGUUUCGGCGGUUGGGGAUGGACUCGCGGCUUAUCAGCUUGUUGGUGGGGUAGUGGCUUACCAAGGCUUUGACGGGUAGCCGGCCUGAGAGGGUGACCGGCCACAUUGGGACUGAGAUACGGCCCAGACUCCUACGGGAGGCAGCAGUGGGGAAUAUUGCACAAUGGGCGGAAGCCUGAUGCAGCAACGCCGCGUGCGGGAUGACGGCCUUCGGGUUGUAAACCGCUUUCGCCUGUGACGAAGCGUGAGUGACGGUAAUGGGUAAAGAAGCACCGGCUAACUACGUGCCAGCAGCCGCGGUGAUACGUAGGGUGCGAGCGUUGUCCGGAUUUAUUGGGCGUAAAGGGCUCGUAGGUGGUUGAUCGCGUCGGAAGUGUAAUCUUGGGGCUUAACCCUAAGCGUGCUUUCGAUACGGGUUGACUUGAGGAAGGUAGGGGAGAAUGGAAUUCCUGGUGGAGCGGUGGAAUGCGCAGAUAUCAGGAGGAACACCAGUGGCGAAGGCGGUUCUCUGGGCCUUUCCUGACGCUGAGGAGCGAAAGCGUGGGGAGCGAACAGGCUUAGAUACCCUGGUAGUCCACGCUGUAAACGGUGGGUACUAGGUGUGGGGUCCAUUCCACGGGUUCCGUGCCGUAGCUAACGCUUUAAGUACCCCGCCUGGGGAGUACGGCCGCAAGGCUAAAACUCAAAGGAAUUGACGGGGCCCCGCACAAGCGGCGGAGCAUGCGGAUUAAUUCGAUGCAACGCGUAGAACCUUACCUGGGUUUGACAUGGAUCGGGAGUGCUCAGAGAUGGGUGUGCCUCUUUUGGGGUCGGUUCACAGGUGGUGCAUGGCUGUCGUCAGCUCGUGUCGUGAGAUGUUGGGUUAAGUCCCGCAACGAGCGCAACCCUUGUUCACUGUUGCCAGCACGUUAUGGUGGGGACUCAGUGGAGACCGCCGGGGUCAACUCGGAGGAAGGUGGGGAUGACGUCAAGUCAUCAUGCCCCUUAUGUCCAGGGCUUCACGCAUGCUACAAUGGCUGGUACAGAGAGUGGCGAGCCUGUGAGGGUGAGCGAAUCUCGGAAAGCCGGCCUCAGUUCGGAUUGGGGUCUGCAACUCGACCUCAUGAAGUCGGAGUCGCUAGUAAUCGCAGAUCAGCAACGCUGCGGUGAAUACGUUCCCGGG
rnacentral:rRNA from 1 species